CCUUCUUCAGCGAGACUGGUUCAGGCAAGCAUGUGCCCAGAGCUAUAUUUGUUGAUCUGGAACCCACUGUCAUUGAUGAAGUUAGAACUGGAACAUACAGACAACUUUUUCAUCCGGAGCAGCUAAUUUCUGGGAAAGAAGAUGCUGCUAAUAAUUUUGCCAGGGGACACUAUACAGGCACACCUUUUUUACCACAAUUUCAACAUGUCAACUUUAAUCAUAAUCUGUCUGCAUAAGUUACCUCCUUUGUGUUUUGUGCUGCAGUUGGGAGGGAAAUUGUUGAUAUUUGCCUAGACCGGCUGAGAAAAUUAGCUGACAAUUGCACUGGUCUGCAAGGAUUUUUGCUGUUCAAUGCUGUUGGAGGUGGCACUGGUUCUGGUUUAGGUUCGUUGCUUAUGGAGCGUCUGUCUGUAGAUUAUGGAAAGAAGUCAAAACUUGCCUUCACCAUCUAUCCUUCUCCUCAGGUACUUCCCUGAAGACAUUGACAAUGAUUUCAGAAUGUUACUGUUAGGUGGGAGUUUUCUGCUAGGUAAAGCACUAUUAUCUUCAUGACUAGUGCAUGAACGAGAGUCUUGUUGCGAAAAGAGGGAACAUUGGUUAUCUGUAUGCUCAGGAUGUGAUGAAUCAUGAAUUUGAAGGAGGUGAAAUCACCCAAAUUUGAAGAUCUGGACUGUGCAGAUUUUCCUGUGAGCUUUAUAAACAAAAAUUUCUUGAAAUUUUGAUGGAGGAUAAAAACUUAUGAAAGCAAAUCUUUUGGCAUGGAAUAUUUCCUAGAAAUCUUUGUUUAUAUUAGCUGCUUUUUCUCCAAAGGCUUGCUCUCUCUGCAUGGGACUCCCUUAUGGACAAGUUUUCUGGUUAUGCAGGUUUCUACAGCUGUUGUGGAACCUUACAAUAGUGUCCUUUCCACUCAUUCUCUCCUUGAGCACACUGAUGUUUCCGUGCUUCUGGACAAUGAAGCUAUAUAUGAUAUCUGCAGGAGAUCUUUAGACAUCGAA
rnacentral:lncRNA from 1 species